CCUACGGGGGGCUGCAGUGGGGAAUAUUGCACAAUGGGCGCAAGCCUGAUGCAGCCAUGCCGCGUGUGUGAAGAAGGCCUUCGGGUUGUAAAGCACUUUCAGCGGGGAGGAAGGCGGUGAGGUUAAUAACCUCAUCGAUUGACGUUACCCGCAGAAGAAGCACCGGCUAACUCCGUGCCAGCAGCCGCGGUAAUACGGAGGGUGCAAGCGUUAAUCGGAAUUACUGGGCGUAAAGCGCACGCAGGCGGUCUGUCAAGUCGGAUGUGAAAUCCCCGGGCUCAACCUGGGAACUGCAUUCGAAACUGGCAGGCUAGCGUCUUGUGGAGGGGGGUAGAAUUCCAGGUGUAGCGGUGAAAUGCGUAGAGAUCUGGAGGAAUACCGGUGGCGAAGGCGGCCCCCUGGACAAAGACUGACGCUCAGGUGCGAAAGCGUGGGGAGCAAACAGGAUUAGAUACCCGUGUAGUC
rnacentral:rRNA from 1 species